UACGAAGGGUGCAAGCGUUACUCGGAAUUACUGGGCGUAAAGGGUGCGUAGGUGGUCGUUUAAGUCCGUUGUGAAAUCCCUGGGCUCAACCUGGGAAUGGCAGUGGAUACUGGACGGCUAGAAUGCGGUAGAGGGUAGUGGAAUUCCUGGUGUAGCGGUGAAAUGCGCAGAUAUCAGGAGGAACACCAAUGGCGAAGGCAGCUCGCUGGGACGGUACUGACGCUGAGACGCGAAAGCUAGGGGAGCAAACGGG
rnacentral:rRNA from 1 species